AUUUCUUUGUAUGCUUUGCUUAUGGUUUAAUCGAUAAAUCAUAAAGCGACGAAUACACCGCUACAGAGAGGAUUAAAUACUAGAAUAUUGGAAAAUUUGCUCACAAGGAGAUCUCUUCACUGGGAAUGACUGAACAAUCUGGUUUUUUGUGCAGGGCAGCUGCUGGGGAUUUGAAUGUUAUUUGGUAUAUGGACACUUAUGAGAGGUUAGGUAGGCAUGACAUAUGCAACAUGCAAAUUCAUUAUGAUUUAUUUAUUUUUUGUCUUUCUCUUAGCUUUUUCUCUUUUUUUUCUUAUUCUUUCUUUUUUUCAUUUUCUGUUUUCAUCUCUUUUUCAUUCUUUU
rnacentral:lncRNA from 1 species